UACGGAGGGGGCUAGCGUUGUUCGGAAUUACUGGGCGUAAAGCGUGCGCAGGCGGUUUUGUAAGUCAGAUGUGAAAGCCCCGGGCUUAACCUGGGAAUGGCAUUUGGGACUGCAAGGCUUGAGUGCGGCAGAGGAGACUGGAAUUCCUGGUGUAGCAGUGAAAUGCGUAGAUAUCAGGAGGAAUACCGAUGGCGAAGGCAGGUCUCUGGGCUGACACUGACGCUCAUGCACGAAAGCGUGGGGAGCAAACAGG
rnacentral:rRNA from 1 species